rnacentral:rRNA from 1 species
AGGCUCGUCAAUCGAAAUGAGUACAAUUUAAAUCCUUUAACGAGUACCAAUUGGAGGGCAAGUCUGGUGCCAGCAGCCGCGGUAAUUCCAGCUCCAAUAGCGAAUAUUAAAUUUGUUGCAGUUAAAAAGCUCGUAGUUGGAUCCAAGGUUAGGCAUGCCUGUCUGUUCUUAGUAGCAUGACUGUGUGUGUCUGCCUUUAUUAGUUGAAUGUUCAUUAUGGUGGUCUUCAUCGACUGCUAUGAUGUGCUCAACACGUUUACCUUGAAAAAAUCAGAGCGAUCAAGGCAGGCCUUCGUGCUUGUAUGUUGUUGCAAGGAAUAAUAGAAUAGGACUUCGGUUCUAUUUUGUUGGUUUUGAGAAUUGAAGUAAUGAACAAUAGAGACAGUCGGGGGCAUUUGUAUGGUGGCGUUAGAGGUGAAAUUCUGAGAUCGUCGCCAGACAAACUACUGCGAAAGCAUUUGCCAAGGAUGUCUUCAUUAAUCAAGAACGAAAGUCAGAGGUUCGAAGACGAUCAGAUACCGUCCUAGUUCUGACCAUAAACGAUGCCGACCUACAAUCGGGGGUGGUUUAUUAUAUUGACCCUCCCGGCUGUCCUCAGGAAACUUUAAGUUGGUUCUGGGGGGAAUAUGGUCUCAAGACUGAAACUUAAAGGAAUUGACGGAAGGGCACCACCAGGAGUGGAGCCUGCGGCUUAAUUUGACCCAACACGGGGAAUCUCACCCGGUCCGGACACUGGUAGGAUGGACAGAUUGAUAGCUCUUUCUUGAUUCAGUGGGUGGUGGUGCAUGGCCGUUCUUAGUUGGUGGAGUGAUUUGUCUGGUUAAUUCCGAUAACGAACGAGACUCUGUCCUGCUAAAUAGUCCAGUGGCAUCAAUCACUAUGUGAUUACAGCUGCUGUUACUUCUUAGAGGGAUUCGCGGAUUUAAACCGCAAGAAAUAGAGCAAUAACAGGUCUGUGAUGCCCUUAGAUGUCCGGGGCCGCACGCGCGCUACAUUGACAGUAGAAGCGAGUAUUUCUACCUGGUUCGAAAGAAUUGGGAAAUCUUCGAAUUACUGUCUCCACAGGGAUUGAGGUUUGCAAUUUUGCCUCAUGAACGAGGAAUUCCCAGUAGGCGCAAGUCAUCAGCUUGCGUCGAUUACGUCCCUGCCCUUUGUACACACCGCCCGUCGCUACUACCGAUUGAGUGCAUUAGUGAGGACCUCGGAUUGAGAACAUAGUGGCGCAAGUUACUUUGUUUUCGAAAAGUGGUUCAAAUUUGUGCAUUUAGAGAUAGUAAAAGUCGU